rnacentral:tRNA from 1 species
AAAAGUAUAAAAAUAGGAUUUCUAAUCCUUUAGUUCUUUAGAAGAGUACUUUUU